rnacentral:rRNA from 1 species
UACGUAGGGUGCAAGCGUUGUCCGGAAUUAUUGGGCGUAAAGAGCUCGUAGGCGGUUUGUCGCGUCGACUGUGAAAACUCGAGGCUUAACCUCGAGCCUGCAGUCGAUACGGGCAGACUAGAAUUCGGUAGGGGAGACUGGAAUUCCUGGUGUAGCGGUGAAAUGCGCAGAUAUCAGGAGGAACACCCGGUGGCGAAAGGCGGGUCUCUGGGCCGAUAUUGACGCUGAGGAGCGAAAGCGUGGGGAGCGAACAGG